rnacentral:lncRNA from 1 species
GUAACGAGAGAUAAAGCCAAGGUUCCUUGCUACGCUACAUAGAUGUUCGUACGAUUCUUGUGGAUUUUAGGUGUGUUUGAAUUCAGCCUCUCGUUAGGUCUUCACUGAAGGAUUGUCCACCUUCUCAAGCCUCUCUACCAUACCCAACGAAAGUGACAACGGAUGACUUCCAUUACUAAAUGGAAGAACUUUUCAAACUAGUUGAUAGUUGUUCCCUGCCCCACAAUGGGUUCUAAUUUACUAAAUCACAUGUUUCUGUUUUCGGAACAUCACAUGUAGACUUUUUUGGGGGAGAAUCACUCGGUGCGGGGCCUCCCGUAUGAGGUCAGGUGAUGGUCAACAACUCAGGCAGGAAAUGCUGAAAAACGGCUAACGAUGCAAGAGCUCUCUUCCCCUUAUACGCUCUAAAAAAAGGGUAUGUCGGGUUUUUGGACCCUAUGUUGAGUAAGGAUUCCAAACCUUCCAAAAGUGAUAGGUAUGUGUUCUUUCUUGGCACUCUCUUUCUAUAUUAUGCCAACCUAAAAACAGCGAUGGAAAGUGGAUUUCAGGUUCGAUAGUCUCGAGAAGGUAUUAGCCACCGGUGACCAUACUUUCGUAAAAGCACCAUUGGGUGGUGGUUCCUCUCCUUCCUCUUAAACCUCGAACAAAAAAUCGAUCUCGCCAUCAGCUCGACUAAGAGUUCCGAAUCGAAAAAGUCAACGGAACUUUGCUUAAGACGAAGGAAGCGAGUGCCGAAAAAAAACCGCUUUCUUAAGGCUUCAAACUACUAGUCAUUAAGACUACUAUGAAUGAAAGGUAAGGAAGUCCUUUUCUUGACUUAGCCUGCGUGCAUUAUACCUAACCCUUUCCCAAGAUUUCAAUCUCAACAAAGAAAUGAAAGCAUAACUCUUUGCUCUCUUGCAGCGCCUCUUAGUCUUUUAUUUUAGCCUGCCUUGUGAAGAUCUCUCGGGUGUCUACGGCAGAUCCGAUCAGUCUCGUGAUGAAGAGAAUUUCCGAUGUUGAAAGGUAUCGUCACGACAACUCAAUUUGUCCGGUAAACUACUCGGGGCUCCCCAUGGUUUAGUAAAAGGGAGGGGAUAUUUUUUCUUCAUCCGGGGGUUCAUUCAUUAUGAACUAAAAAGUGGUUGGCUGAUUAGUGAGGUCUUAAAAACGUCAUAGAAUUCAUGAUCGGCCAUUCCAUUUUUGCUUUCAGCAAGUAGGCGACGCGAAUCUAUGCUUUCUAUCUUUCAAUCGGAUACCAAUUGCUUGGAUGCGUUUGAAAGCCUCGAGAUGACUUGCAGAAAAAAUGCUUUCUAGGUUUGUCUUGUGUCUCCGAAACAAACGGUCCAUUUGAAAGCAUACUCUUUGCUCUCUUGCAGCGCCUCUUAGUCUUUUAUUUUAGCCUGCCUUGUGAAGAUCUCUCGGGUGUGUACGGCAGAUCCGAUCAGUCUCGUGAUGAAGAGAAUUUCUGAUGUUGAAAGGUAUCGUCACGACAACUUAAUUUGUCCGCUAAACUACUCGGGGCUCCCCAUGGUUUAGUAAAAGGGAGGGGAUAUUUUUUCUUCAUCCGGGGGUUCAUUCAUUAUGAACUAAAAAGUGGUUGGCUGAUUAGUGAGGUCUUAAAAACGUCAUAGAAUUCAUGAUCGGCCAUUCCAUUUUUGCUUUCAGCAAGUAGGCGACGCGAAUCUAUGCUUUCUAUCUUUCAAUCUGAUACCAAUUGCUUGGAUGCGUUUGAAAGCCUUGAGAUGACUUGCAGAAAAAAUACUUUCUAGGUUUGUGUUGUGUCUCCGAAACAAACGGUCCAUUUAUUGAUGGGCGAAUGACGGGGAUUGAACCCGCGCGUGGUGGAUUCACAAUCCACUACCUUGAUCCACUUGGCUACGUCCGCCCCUACCCCCGCACAGGUUGAAGUCUCUAUCUACGAUCAGAUCCUUUCUGAACUCCCCUAUAACCGCUUAUCAAAGAGAAGCUUUUUCCGUCACUAUAGUGGCAAGUCUAUUGUUGUGUUUCGGAAUUAGGGGAAACAAAGCUUCAAACAAAGAGGUUGGGCUGUUCACUUCAUUGAUUUGACUUCACUUUACUUAAGAUUAAAGAUAGGGGCCGGGCGGGCAGUGAAGGCUCAUUUAGUAGACAGCGAGCGAGGUCCAAGCACCUACUCCUAUCAAAAUGAAAAGCAGCAACCGGAACUUGAACUUGAAGAAGCGAGCCUCUAUCAGAGAAAGCCAUUGCGCGCUAGCCCCUUGUAUAGGGUUCCAAACCUGCGCACCCCUAAACUACAAGCUUUCUUUGAAGCCCCUACAACAUGGGAUAUUUGAAGAAUCCCCUUUCUACAAACCUUUCUAUAAUAUAAGAGAAGCUCUUCGAGCUUUCUUCGCAUGCUUGAGCGCAUCCCCUUUCUAUUAGUAAGGUUGUCAAAUUUCCUUUAGUUCCUUUAUGACUAUAAUAUAAAUAAUAGGGGUAGGGGGGCGCUAACGAGCAAGAAAAGGGGUGCGCUAAGGCGCAACGGCUUUCGCGCAGCUGCUACGCCCUUGCUUCUUGCCUUAUCUUUUACUAAGAAACUAAUCUAAAUAGAAGCCCUUCUUUCUCAAAGUCAACUUUCUCCCUUCUUGCUUUAGUGAAAUAGGGGGCGCUAACGCGACCUUCCUUCAGCUGGCUUCGCCCUAUCUAUUCAUCUAUUUUCUCAAAUGGAUAUUUAGGGAUCUCUCUUGUUCAUAGAUCUUGAAACCAGAUCAAUAUCCAUUUCUCAAUAGAUCUAUUUAUCGAUAGAAAGAUAUAGAUCUCUAUAUGGAUCUAUCUCCAUAUCUAAAUAUGGAAGAACCGACACUUAAAGGGCGUAACCAACGGAAGGUUCUCACCCUGUCCCCGACAUUGUUCUCCGACGAUGUCCCCUGGGCAAAAGGUGGCCCUUGGGCCACUUGACUGGUUGGAAAGGAGCCAUUACCGGCUGAACCAUCAUCAUCUGCUUGCUUGGUCACUUUCGUGAUAAGGCGCUUAAAAGGAUUCUGGAUUAUAUAUAUUUUGGGAACUAAAAGAGUGGCUGGUUGAAGGGAAAGGGAAGCCAGAAAAUCCAGGGAAUCGACGUCCCCCAAACCAUUAGACUUCCAGAGAAGAGGAGUCCGGUCGCCAUUAAAACCCUUCUCGUAAACCGAGGAAAUAUCAAAUCCAAUUCCGAUACUGGGUAGGAUUCACCAGCCGCUAGACAUAGCACAGAAGCCAACAGUAGUAUGAAUGGGACAGGAACUAUUCGACCUCUUUCAGGAAAGGGCCUUACACACGGGGACACUGGCUGAUCCCGCCGACAGGAGCAAAGGAAGGUCUCUUUCGCCUACGAGCAUUUGUACGAAGAAAGGAGUCUCGUACAAAGGGUUGGAAAGAAGGCUUUUACCUUAUUUCAGGUGGGUUAGUGCGUAUCUGUUCGGGCGGAGGCGGACAAUGAAAAGACAGAAAGGAGCGAAUGAUGCCAACCAACCCGACAAAGACAUUCAGAUAUGAAAAAGAUAAAGAAAGACGUGUUAAGCUUGUGUUUUCCCAGCCGACUCGCACACGACCAUCUUUCUUCCUAAAACUUAGUCUUGAAAGCGUUGCAUGUUGCUACUAGAGGGCAAAGAAAUUAGCUUAUGAUGAAGAAUAACAACAAAAAAGCUUUUGUCCCCAAUCGAGGUGAUAGACCACCUUAUGGCCGAUGUGAUUACCAGCCAAAGGGCAAAAAGAUGGGGUUGAAUGCGACUCUACCAAUACCAAUCUCCUCUGGAGCAAGGAAAAGCAACUCUGCCUGGUAUCGGUAACGAUUAACAUAUUCUUUUUUUUUAGAGAUGGGAACCCUUACUUAAGAACAGAGAGUGACCGAGCAGUAUAGUAGUCUGCUGGACAAACUUGGGGUAACAAUCUCGGUAGCAAAAUCGAUAAUAUCUGAGAACGGAACCAUCGACUUUGCUAAGAGAUUUUGGACUAAGGAUAUGCAAUUAGACUUAUCGCCAAUUCCUCUUAGGGCAUUAACUGCCUGUCGAACGACUGUGGGUCUUUGCCAAUUAUCAGCAAGAUAUUCGAUUUCUAUAUCGAUGCUUCAAAGGCUGGGAGGGGCAGGAUUCAGAGUUCGGUCGCGCUUACAUUCUACUCAAUCUAAGCGUUGGGAACGAUUAAAAGCUGCUGCUCAGAAACUACACAGGUCAUACUUACUAUCUUUAGAAUAUUGGAUUGGAAGGAAGGGCUUCGCUUUCCGAUCACUUUUUGAGGCCGGUUUGGAUGAGCGUGGGCAAGUUCGGGAUUCACUAUCGCUUUCCACUUAGAGCGGCUCACCCCCUUGUCACUUAAAGGGCGAAGUCGCCGAAGCGAGUCGAAAGGCCAAAGAGUCAUCUUUGAAGGCUACUAUGCAUCCUUAUUCAGUAGAGUGUAAGGUAGGUUUGGGUAUAGUAGGACUUGAACCUGCGACCGUUAGGUUAAAAGCCCAAUGCUCUACCAAUUGAGCUAUACACCCAAAAAAAGAUGUAGUAGUAAAUAAGGAUUGGUACGGAAAAGAGGCUGGCCCCCAUUCUUCUCAUCAUAUUAAAACAGCACGGCUCUGUAUGAGGCUCGUACAGCAGAGCAAGCGGAAGAAAACAUAACGUCGCGCGUUAGCACUCCUGCAAGAAAAGGGAUGCGCUAAGGCGCAAGGGCUUUCGCGCAGCUGCUACGCCCUUGCUUCUUGCCCCUUAUUUCAAACUCAACGAAAGCCUUGAUCGAUAUGAGAAAGAUGGGCUCAAGCACCUAACCUAUAUAAGGGGCUUGGGCUCGAAAGCCGGCCUUACUCAACAAGCACCUUUCUUAGUAAGGUUGCUUUUUCCACUCAUUAAAGAUUCUAUCUACAAAAGAAGGUAAAGGGGGGAUACUCAGAUUACUCUCACUGACACCAGAGAAGGUGAGGUCGUCUUUCUUUCCAGCCGCCAUACGGUUCGCCUUAAAGCCUUAAGGAGAAGGGGAGGAGCAGUUAUCUAUGUAAUUACGUUGUUGGCUGUUGAUCCGGUCGAGCACUCUCUUUUCUUUGUCCAAUUCCUUCUUACUAAACAAGACUGACUUCUUACCAACCUGCGAAGGGUUGUGAGGCUGGACCAGGUAUGAGGAAUGAAUCUAUAUCUGUGCACGAAAGUUGCUGGCCGGCGGCCCCUCAACUGUUCGAGCGUAAUGCAGUGGUGUUCGUUCCAAUUCGAUAAAGGUAGAAUGCCUAGUCGAAGGUCCAGUACAGUAGGUAGCAGGCGUGUUCGUUUUGGUUCCCGACCGAGAAUGGUAAAUAGGCGAUGCACCAUCUUUGCUGCUACGUAUGUUUUCCUUGACUUGACAGAUUCAUUCAAUUGAACCCACACUUAAAGGAGGACCACAAGCUCGGGGCCCGACGAAACAGAAAGUUUCAGCAUGUUGAAAAUGGGGUUAGCAUGAAAGAAAGAGCCCAGCAUUCAUUUCUGAAUGAAUAUUCAUAACUGAGUCUACUAAAAGAGGGACCAGCCUCGUCUUGGUGAUUAGAGGACACCUCUGAUCGUUCACCUCUAAUGUGACACGUUCCCUCCUAGUUAUAUGAUCAACGGGAUCAGUCGGCUAGAGAGCGGGGCUAUUCUUCUUCCGGGGAGACAAAGUCGUCCCUUCUACUGACCGAACCCUCAGUUCGGGGGCCUUCGUCAACAUGUUACGAAGCUCCAGUCUUCGGUGGGUCACCAUUACUUGACUUAGAAAGGCGAACAUCUGGGCAAGGGAAAGCGCAGUGCGCCUGGUGCAAAUGGCUUUCUUUUUUCAUGAUAUACCAAUCAGAAUGGAGGGUCCUACCUACGUACAUGAUUGAUAGAAUCACUACGUAGGGGGGCGGUCAACUUGAUGCGGGAGAGGCAUGAGUGCAGUUCAAUCUUAUGGUGUAUUCGUUUGUAGUGAGUAGGGCCUCUUUCUCGUUGAUCAGUUCGCCUCCACUCUAUUGAAAAGUAGGAAUUCCUACGGCGGUUUUAUCAACGAACGCGUCUCGGGCCGGAUUGACUAACCUAACCCACCCUGUUGGAGGCUUUUCCAUAGUUGGGUGUCCGCUUUAGUGUGAUUUACGAAGGCUAGGCUAGGUUUGGUAAUAUCCAAAACAAAUGAAAAGAGAUCGGGGUCGAUAGGUGGCAGUUGGCAAGGAACUUGAUCCCCCCCAAAAAAAGGGGGAAGCCGCGGUCGAACUCAAAUUCUGGAAAUAAGUCGGGGCCCUUUUACCAAGUCUACCAGAUAGAAGAUGAUAGAGGGCCAACUAUCGUUGCCUUGCACAAGACGGUGCCCUUUCACUUCGAGUUCCUUCCUUCAUAGUCAAAUCUGAUUAUACGCUUUAGCGAUGUUACCUACCAAAUAAAAGGCCUGCUAGGUGAUCAAAAUCGCUCAGGUGAGGACUCACUCACUCAUCUACUCCUUAUCUACUCCUACCAAAUAAAGGGCUAUAAGAUAAGAUACAGUUCUUGUACUACUUGAUUGACUGGUAAGAAAGAGCUUCCGUAAGAACUGGAAGACUCUUGUAUGUACGGUAACCCUCUCUUCCUCUACUGGUGGAUUGUUGCACAGAAAGGGCGAAAGAAGGAAACUUUCUUAGCGCGCUUUUCAAGCGCUUAGCUGCUGCUAGUGGCGGGGCGACAAGUCCAUGUUGUUCAGUUGGAAGCCUAAGCCAAGAAGGUACGAACGAAGUGAGGGGCCCCUUUAGAAGAUAAGGGGCGGCUUUCUUAUGGUAGUAAUUACAAACAUCUCUCCUCUUCUCUUAGCGUGCACAGUUUGCUUACAUGCCGCCUUAGGCACAUCUCUCUUUCUUAGUUUCAUGCUGGACUAAUGAUAAUGAAUGAAAGUCAGUCUUUUAGUAAACGUAUAUAAGCAGCUCUUUAGUGUAUAAGCAAUUCUUUAGUGGUCGCACCGAAAGUACGGUGGAGGUUGGUUGAAGAUGAUGUUACGCGGCGUUCAGAACCAGUCUUGAAGUGAAUGAAUUAUAAAGAAGUAAGGAAAUGAGACGACUCUUUCUUGAACUAUAUCAUAAACAGAUCUUCCCCUCCACACCAAUCACGAGUUUUUCUCUAUUCCUCUCGUAUAUCGUCGUAACGCCCUUAAUGCUAGGUUUUGAAAAAGACUUUUCAUGUCAUUCCCAUUUAGGUCCGAUUCGGAUCCCUCCGUUGUUUCCUUUUCCUUCCGCACCUUUUCCUCGAAAUGAGAAAGAAGAUGGUACACUUGAAUUUUAUUAUUUAAGUGCUUAUUGCUUGCCAAAAAUCCUACUUCUAUAAUUGGUAGGUCACCGGGUUAUUUAAAAAAGUCGUGUUUUUUGUGGUUUUCCCAUGUUACAACUUCCGUACCAAUUCGGUCGAUCCGGAAUGGAUCGGUUAAACAUUCCAUUAGGUAGCCUGGUCUUGACUCUUCUGUGUGGUAUUCAUUCUCGUUCGGCUCUUGGAAUCACAUCCAGCAGUGGUUGGAAUAGCUCGCAAAAUCCAACCACUUCACCUACUUCAUUGCCCCCAACCGUUUCUCGUACCUCUAUUGAAACAGAAUGGUUUCAUGUUCUUUCAUCGAUUGGUUAUUCCUCUCCGUUCGUAUCUCUUUUUCCAAUUUCGGUCUCCGAUUAGUUCCAAGAUUGAAUGGCCAAUUCUCCUCCGAACCCUCGAUUCCAUUGUUUUCCAAGAAUGUUGAGCCGGGUAUGUAAGCCAUGUAUCUGGGAGGAACAACAAUAAAAGAAGGGCUUUCGGUUUUGGUCUUGCCGCUAUUUUCAAAAUAUAUAUAUAAGAAUCCCUUUUUUAAAAGAAAGAUUAUAUAUAUGUCCAAUCUCUAGUGGUGGUGGAACCAAACAAGAUGUAUGUCGUCCGACCCGACCUCAGACUCUUUCUUCCCGACCUAUUUAACUCUCUGGCCAUAGUUAUUUAGGUGGUAUUACGAGAUCGAAUUCCUCUCAGGAACACACGAAACAAAGAUAUGAACUGGGUAAAUAGAAAUGGAAAAGAGAUGUUUCUAUUUCAUCCAAAUUAGUUGCUUUUUCUACAUCCAUAUGAUCUACUAAAGUAGAUCGGUAUUGACCAUAUAAUAAAAGUAGAUCUUGGUCCAUGGAGUCCCAAGAAGGUAAGAACUCCAACCUGCCCGAUGCUUCUUCGGCCAAAUACGAUAUACAAGUGGGACCUGCACUAUGAGCAAGCUGUGCGAAAAACCGCUUCUUUUUUCCGGUUCCGAAACAACUUGGGCGAAAUAGGGUCCAGCCCUCUUCACGAACUUGUACAAUCGAUGCCACAAAGAUAGCCAACUCUAUUAUCAAAGAAAUAAGGAAAGGGGCGACAAUUUGGCACCAGAUAUCCAGAGGUGUGGAAAUAGCAGCUGUGACAAGCAGAAAAACCAUCAAAAAACAACGAGAGUUCGUGGAGGUUUUUACAGAAAGAUCCCUUGGUUCUGGCAAAUGGAUCACAAUUACAGGUACCUGGGAGCAUACCGAUGGAAUGAACGAAAUACGAACAGUUAACAUAAUAUGGUCAUAGAUCUUGGCUUCUAACUUGAUCAUGAGCGAAUUUGUUGAUGUUGCACCCAUGAAGUAUGGAAAGUGCCAAACAUUGGGAACUACCCGGGGAGGAGUUAGGAACAGGAACAAGGAGAAGCGAGAACCACUUAAAUAGAGGAAUCGAUUGUAUUUCGUCCUUUGUUCCUCAUAGCAACUGGGGAUCAAAAAGCACCAAAUUUGAUGACUUAUUAAGGGAAAGACGAAGUAAGAGCAUGCUAUUGGAGACGUUGCAACAUAUGUCGGGAAGGCCUCCGUUGAUUGUGUACGAACAAAAUACGAAUCCAAAGGCAGGGUAAGAAAGGGUUUAGCUAAUGGAAAUAUUAACUCUUCCGGGAACCAGUAACGCGUAAACCAUGUCAAACCAAGACCAAUCAAUAUCCGAACGGAACGGAUUCGAACUUCUCCUAGAAUAGUUUCCGGUGCGAAAUGAAAUUCAUAGGAUAUAUAUGAGUAAUUCAAAGGAAAAAUCGAAAUAUUUGAUAGGAUUGAUUAUGUAUCAGAACUAAAUCACUACGAAUCAGAACUAAAUCACUACGAAUCAGAACUAAAUCACUACGAAUCAGAACUUGAAAGAAUGCAUAAAUAAUGUUAUGGGGCUUCCCCGUCGAGAAUAAAAAGUCUUUCUCUUAGAGAGGCGUUUUCUUCGCUUAGAAAAGCGUUCCUUCUCGACAGGGAUUCCCAUAACUCUUUUAAUUCUCGGCGAUGUUGCAUUUCCAAUUGGGCUUGGUGCUUUUGUUUUAAAAAGCCCUGGAAAUGCUCUGCCUGGGUCCUUUUUACCUCAAAAUAGAAUGGGGAUGUCUCUCUUUCAAAAGACAAACUUUCCAUGACCUGGCAUAGAGCAGGGUGAUUGAAUUCGAGGGGUUCAAGGUGAAAUUUGAGUAUGGAAUCUAGGUCUUGUGGAUCAAUGAAUAAUUGGGGAUCCUCUCAACCAUAAAAAAUGAGUUGAUAGAGAGAGGAAAUCUGGUCGCGAGUUACAAAACACAUCUCCGUGUUUAGGAAGUCUCGGACCAUUACUUCAUAUGUGGCUGAAUGUAUCGGGGUCGUUUUUAGCACUUGAUGUACAUAUUCCACCCAUUCUGUGUCCGACUGUUUCAGAUAGAACUCUAGAAGGUUUAGUUCCGAGGGAAGAAUCCCACAAGGAGAAAGAAGGAUAUGAUUGUUGUUGUGCCAAAGAAGAAAACCCGCGCGCAUUAUUAUAAAGAAAAUCACAAACAAUUUCAAGUAUAAAACGACCCGUUGAAAGGCCGAAUUCUUUACAUAAAGAAAGUUAAGUCGUUCAUCUAUAUUAAAAAACCUAAGAAGAACAAUAAUAACAUUGAAAAGGCAUGACCAGAAGAAUUGUGUGAAAGAAGUGAAUUUAUCUAGUUGAGGCAUGAUUCAUUGAGACAAUCAAAUUCCCUCCAGAAAGCUGAACUCCGUCAAGCCUGUAGGAGUAGUGAAGAAUGUGAGUGAGUUGUGUGGUUUUUUGUUGACCAAGAAAGAAAUGGGAGUGUUUGGGCGUACAUUGCAGAUCCACCGGUGGAGGUCCCGUACUAGAUUGACUUUCUUCUCUGACACUCUGGGGAUCAUCUUAAAGCGUCUUCUUCUUUGGCUAUGUGUUCCUGUAUAAGGGAGGCAUUUUGAUGACGUCAGUGAUCUUUCAGGCACUCCACCUCGACCAACUCAUUUCUUGGUUGAUCGACUGGCAAACGCCCGAGGCACAAAAGAUCAUUGAAAGGUCGAUGAUGUUUAUAGCCAUUCUUUCUUUGCUUUUUCACAACUUGUAAAGGUAGCCAUAGGGGAACCUGUGGCUGGAUUGAAUCCUUAUUUUAUUUCGGCAUCCCCCUCCUUGCGGUUAAGGUAAGGACUUCGGGCAUGGCCAGCUAAGGCUAAAGUUCCAUUAAAGAGCGUUUCCACGUGCGUCACCCAUCUUAUCUAUCUGAUGUCUACUCUAACCUUUUAGAGUGUGGAUUUCAUAGUUUCUAUUGGGAGCAGGCUUUCGAAUAUAUAAAACUCAUUUAUGGUUUUCAAUAAUUAGUUCCAAGUCAGCCAUGUACUACUAUCGGUCAUACAAUUGUUUUUUAAUUGUCUUUCUUUUUUUCAAUGCCCGCGGGCCACCUAAUAUUUUGGAUCGUCCUGCUGAUCCGGCUCCGCAGAUGUAGGUGGGAUUUGCCGAACUACAUCACCAAAGCGACUCCUCAUGAUAGGAGAGAAAGAAAUUAGGGGAAUUUAGAACGGAUUCCACUUUUCUAUAUGCUAAUUCGAAUCUGGCGGGUCGCUCCUUUCUUCGUUUGGGGUGUCUCGUGAGCUCUUUAUGGAAAACUUAUUCAUAUUAUUCUCCUCCCUUUUUUCCUAUCCUAUGGAUCAAAAGCUAUGAUUAACUCAGCUCUGACCUAGACUACAGUGCCCCUAGGGAAUGCACAUUCUCUAUCCUAUCCAAAAAAUAGGGACGCUUAUUAAUAGAAAAUUCAACAACGAAAUCUCAAACUUUUUUACCGCGCACCAAUGUCCGCCUUCUUGUACUGAUGUGGCAAAGUGAAAGUGUAAUUAAGCAAGAUUGACCGCCCUUUCAGUAGUAGUAGUGUCUACUGCCUUUCAGAAUGGCUACUAACAUAUUGCACGAGGUGGCUAACUCGCGGAAUAGCUUUUGGGUUGGCAGAAUCUAAAUAACCCCAAUGGUGAUUCCGAGACUUAUCCUACCUACUCAAGCGGCAAUCAAUACACAUUCAGUGAUUUCGAAUAUCACUUACGACAUUUCGAAAUCAGGGUUUGGGGGUUCAAGCUAUAUAUUCAUUGAUAUUGAGGAAGUAGAGGCAGAUUAAAUCUGUGCCAUCAACUUGACUACAUGGAACUAUCAAUGACGCGUUCAAAGGAAUCCUUUCUAUCCUGUGAGCUCGAACCGGAAGUUCAAGCCCUGCUCUUUCCCAGUCUCCCUUUAUACACUGCCUGCUUUCUUCUCCUGAUCCUCCUUCCGAUGCGGAUCCAACUCUCUGUUUUUAUGAACCAGUUAAACUCUCCAUCUAUGUCUGCAUCCGAGCGAGAAGAGAAGUCGAGUCCAUCUUUGUCUCCACUCAACCCUAGCUCGCUAAGCUGUUGAUUUCCAUGGAUCCUUAGAAACUUUGAGUCAUGAUGGAAAACGUACCCUCGCGAGAGAUUGAGAUAAAAAAAAGGAUGGUUUAGAUGCGGGGAAGAGGGGAACGAGAUGGCUGGCUAAGCUGCUCCACCAGGUCUCAUUUCUGGCCGGGAGAUGGUUUGUAUGGAUGGUUCGGUCAGCUGGUUUCGGAACCACGAGCUUCCUGAGAGAGUUUGAAUUAGAUUCAUUGUUUGAAAACACGGAUUUGGUUCACUGUCGGUCGAUUGACUGGUGGUUUGGUUGUUCUUAAGGCUAAGGGAUGGGGGAUGGGGGCAAAGAGAAGAAGGGCUAAGGCCUAAAAAUUUCACUGAUUGAUUCUUUGAUCCCGUCCACAGGUUCAGUGGUAGGUGGUUCCCCUUGACCUAGCUUUUUCUCUGCAGAGAAAGAAAGGGAUCAAAGGCAAUAAAACCUACGAUGUAUCCUCAAUCUUCCGAGGGGUACGGAGCGGCAUCGGAGUAGCCAAUAAGCUAAUCCUUUCCCAGUGACCCAUCUAAUUGAUUUGAUCCAGUGCAGAAAGAAGCGAGUGAGCGGCAAAUGAUCAAAUAUCGGACCUGGUGAAUAUCUGUCUCUCAAUCCCGGGAUUCCAAUCCAAAUUAUGCAUUGCCCGACCGCACUAGAUUCUUGAUUCGCUGGGAGAGAGUAGAGAGUCAAGGUUCGUUGGAAGUACUUCCUUUCUAUUAGUGUCACCGAAAAGGAUGAAAAGAGAUAAGAUGCUGGUGGUUAGCCUGCCCCGGACUCGUAAUUGAUAGUUUCUGAUGAAUGGAGAUAGCCUUCACUGAACGAUGGGAAUACCAAUUGAGACUAGGAGAGGUGGCCUCAUAUCCCGUCCCUGGUUCCGGCUCUCCGAAAGCAGAGUAUACGGGGGCGGCAGAUGGAUUUGAAGUUGAGGGAAACCUAAAGGACAAAAGAAAGAGAUUUAUUUUUAGAUGCGGAUUACCGCUUCUGAGCUUCGAUGAUCGGGAGGGCUUGAUAGCUUCUAUCCAGUGAAGGGCAUGAGAGGAAGAAAUAAAUGGAGAACUUGGGCCUCUUCGGAUGGGAGUUGAUGGCGGCCUUCAAUGGUUCCCAAAAUGGGCAGUUCCCUUCUCUUGGCAGCCGCAGAUGGGCUUUCACACUCCUUCUCUAUAUAAGAUCCAUAGCUUGAACAAGACAGCUGCACUGGGAUACUCAGAAAGAAGUAAAGCGCAUCCACAACUGCCGAAGAAAGAACAGGAGAAUCUAUACUAUCUUCCGCAACUUCCGAAAGAGCCACAUCAAGAACAAGAGCUGGUACCGCAUGUGCCGCAGGACAGGCAGGAAUGGGAUAUAUAUUUGAAACAACAAUAGCAAGGAGAUUCGCCAACAGGAGAGGGCGGGCCCCCCGCGCUAUUAGUGUCUUCUAUAUAAGAAGAGAGUCGAGUUUGAUGAGUGUCGACUGAGGUUGCGCAGAGCAAGCAAGGCGAGUUGCUUGCAAUGGUUGCUUGCGUGCGAGGCAAGGUAGCGCAAGCAAGGCAACGGUAUAAGCAAGGUAGCUUGCAAGUCCCACCUCGAGCAACAGGUUACCUAAAAACAAAUCAAAUCAGAGUCCUUGGUUCAUUGUUCAAUUGUUGAGAUCGAAUCUGACGGUAGCCGAAGGCUACUACAAUGUUUUGUAAGCUCAGGUUAUCGGCAGAAAAUGUAGUGCAAGCGAAAUUCUCGCCAGACGAUGUCAUGCAGCCCAGAUGAGUAGAGACAAACGUCUAGCAAAUCCGAGUAAGCGACAGGCGAGCAAGCGCAAGGCCAACCGAAGGAAGAAGACCAGUUGAAUGCAAGUUCAAUCACGAGGAGAUGGGCAAGUCAAGCCUGCUGGUAGACAGUAUUCAAACUAGGGGCAGAAGUCAUCAAGUUGCUUUCAGUCGUCCUUCUCCUUAUGUACAAGGCACUAAACUAGUGAUGUUAAGCAUUUGCCCUCGAGUGAAGUUCAACUCAGUUGAUUCUCAGAUAAAUCCCACAUGAAGCGAAAGUCUACGCACCACUACAUGAAAGAUCUGACUGUCUAGUCAGAAAGAGUCUUUCUAGAAGCUUUAAUUUAGGAGCGUUUCAUCAAACUAGAAAGAUAUGAAUCUCAGACAGAUGGUCACGUAAGUAGUGGAUCUCACGUCCUAUCCUCAAGUCUUCUUAGUGAUCGUCUGCUCUCAAUGAAUCAAUGCCCGGUGGCUCUGAAUUCAAUAGAAAUCCCGUGAGUGAAACUCUGAGUUGAAAACGACUAAGCUUAUAUGAAUCUCAGACAGAUGGUUGCGUAAGUAGUGGAUCUCACGUCCUAUCUUCAAGUCUACUUAGUGAUCGUCUGCUCUCAAUGAAUCAAUGCCCGGUGGCUCUGAAUUCAAUAGAAAUCCCGUGAGUGAAACUCUGAGUUGAAAACGACUAAGCUUUUUGCCUUGACCUUGACACUAGUCUGAGCCUUUCCCAGGGCACCUUGCCUUCUUUCCUUGGCUUGGCGGGACACAGAAAUGAUUCUUUGCUAUCUAAAGGGAGUUUCGAUUCCGCAGAACCUAUAGGAGCAAUAGACGGAGUGGAGUAUGGCUGUGAGUCAGGCGCAGUAUCCUCACUGUUCUUGUUACAGAAUCAACUCUGAACGCUGUACAUGGUUAGCUGUAAGAAAGAAUAGCGAUUGUUGAAGAAGUUUGCUCUUUCGACGACUCUUAUUGCUCUAAAUAAGCUCUCAUCCUUUAGGAGUGCAGGCACGACUAGCUUUCUCCAACCUUCUUGUGUGACCGCAUGUUGGAGAAAAGAGAUCCACAUCUUACUCUAACGGCAAUGUCAGGAUCUCAGUCUAUCUCUUUCUCACAUUUGACACUCUCUUCUAUAUACCGCUAAGUCGCAUCCAACUACCUGUACUCUAAGAAUGAAGGUUGUAAACAACCUUAACAAGCGACCACUGGACUUGUGAAAGAGAGCUGUUCUUCGCAUCGAGAAUCGACUGUUUACCCUCUCUUCUUGCAUCUGUGCAUUUCGAGCCUUGGGCAAGCUCCCGACAUGUCUACUUCAUCAAAUUCCCUGUCUACCGAAAAUGGAUGAACCUAUCCACAGGGAUUUUGAGCAUCACUUCUUUUUUUUCCCCAACGACAAAGGAACUUACGGGCGGGGCAUUUUUAGGGACUAGCCCGCUUCCCAUUACUAAAUAGGGAAAUUCCUCACACAUAAUUAAGGGAGCCAUUGAAAGGUGACUAAAACACCAGAAACGGGGACUACCCGUGCUAAUGAUAGAGGCAAGAACACUUUCCGGCCAAGUCCCAUUUAUUGAUCAUAACGAUAUCGUGGAAAUGCUACACGGACCCAUAUAUAUAGGAACAGAAAAAGAAUUACCUUGAUACUAAACCAGAUCGAGCCCGGGAUCUUCUUGGAAAUGGGAAGAUCUAGGAUAGGCGGCCAACCUCCUGGAGAGAGCGAUGUGCAUAGACCAGGUGAGUAGGGAUGCAGCUCCGUGGACCGCUCGUCGGGCCUGAUAGGUGGUGGUAUCACACCCUUCUCAAAGGAACCGUACGUGACACUCUCGCGUCAUACGGCUCCGUCCCGGAAGCAGGACCUUCCCUUUCCUUUGACCAACGGGCCCUCAAACCUUUAUGAUUUCGUGCUAAACCUGGUCUCCAUCUUUGAACUUCUCGUUCGAUGAGACCCCAGGUCUCACUGUUUCCGUUUUCUAGGUCACACCUUAACAUCGUUAGAAAGCAGAGUUGGCUAGCUGCCGGCAUAUCUUUUACGUCACCAGCCACAUAGUCCGCAGCGUCUUUCACUGCAUCGUAUUUG